ACGAACGCUGGCGGCGUGCUUAACCCAUGCAAGUCGAACGGAAAGGCCCUGCUUGCAGGGUACUCGAGUGGCGAACGGGUGAGUAACACGUGGGUGAUCUGCCCUGCACUUCGGGAUAAGCCUGGGAAACUGGGUCUAAUACCGGAUAGGAGCCAUUUUUAGUGUGAUGGUUGGAAAGUUUUUUCGGUGUAGGAUGAGCUCGCGGCCUAUCAGCUUGUUGGUGGGGUAAUGGCCUACCAAGGCGGCGACGGGUGGCCGGCCUGAGAGGGUGGACGGCCACAUUGGGACUGAGAUACGGCCCAGACUCCUACGGGAGGCAGCAGUGGGGAAUAUUGCACAAUGGGCGCAAGCCUGAUGCAGCGACGCCGCGUGGGGGAUGACGGCCUUCGGGUUGUAAACUCCUUUCGCUAGGGACGAAGCUUUUUGUGACGGUACCUAGAUAAGAAGCACCGGCUAACUACGUG
rnacentral:rRNA from 1 species